AUACCCUAUUAUUUUUAGUGUAAAAUUUAUUGGCCUGAGUAGUAAUAGAUAUAAUCUUUAAACUUAAAGAAUUUGGCGGUAUUAUAGUCUAUUUAGAGGAAUCUGUUAUGUAAUCGAUAGUCCACGUUGAACCUUACUUAUAUUAUUUCUUGUAUAUCGCUGUUUGGAAAAUACUUUUAGGUAUGAAAUUUUCUAGAUAAUAUUUAAUUAAUAAUUCAAGUCAAGGUGCAGUAAUAUUUAAGUUGAAUAAUGGAUUACAAUAAGUUGUAUUUAAAUGGAUAAUGACUUUAAUUUUAUUUUGAAGGUGGAUUUAAAAGUAAUUUUAUAAAGAUUAGUAAAAUGAUUUUUAGCCCUAUAAUAUGUACACAUCGC
rnacentral:rRNA from 1 species